UACUACACUAUUUUAUUAAUAGCAUUCCCAAAUUAAUCAACUUAUGCGGAAGGUAACAUUUUAAUAGCACUACAAUUUUUCAUAGUUCUUUUAAAUUUAUAUAUUGAAAUAUUUGUGUAUACUUUUCUUUCAGUUGCGGCUUCUUUUAGAUUUUAGAUUUAUACAGAGCACACUAGUAGAUUGCUCACUCACAAUCUUUUUCCUUACAUUAACUACUCACUCACGUUUACCUGGUAAUUUUCUUAUUUGCUUGACAAUCCUUUUGUUAUUUUAAAUCAAUUAAUUAAAUCCUUUGGGUUGUUAA